rnacentral:lncRNA from 1 species
AUCUGGAGUGCGUCAGCAAUUUAGUCUGGCAGCAACAACCCAGGAUUUACAAGAAAUCACAUGACUGACUAGAAAGGGAACGCCUUUAAGAUGAGGGUGACCAAUCACUUCAUGAAGUAAAACUACACCCCACAUCACUAUAAAACAGCUGCUUCUCCACUUGUAGACAUACGACUCCAGAUACCCAACACAACAGACAGGCAAAGGUAAGGACAUCUAUAAAGUUAUUAUUACAAGACGCAAGCCUGAACCACGUUCUUGUUGCAUGUUUUGAUAUUACAAAUGGGUGUUCCUUCCAAAUUGACAUUCAAAAAGGAAGUAUGAUGAAGUUUAAUAUCUGCGAAUCUUUCGGAAAUACUGCAUAUGCAAUUUAUUUAUUACACAGCCUUCAAUAAUAUGUUUAUUGUAACGAAAGUAACUAAUGAAUACAUGUCAUUAGUAAAUAUAGGCAUUAUGAUGUAGGUAUUAUGAUAUAGGUAUUAUGAUACAGACAUUAUGUUACAGGCAUAAUGAUACAGGUAUUAUGAUAUAGGCAUUAUGAUAUAGGCAGUAUGAUAUAGGCAGUAUGAUAUAGGCAGUAUGAUGUAGGUAUUAUGAUACAGACAUUAUGUUACAGGCAUAAUGAUACAGGUAUUAUGAUAUAGGCAUUAUGAUAUAGGCAUUAUGAUGCAGGCGUUAUGAUGUAGGCGUUAUGAUGUAGGCGUUAUGAUAUAGGCAUUAUGAUGCAGGCGUUAUGAUGUAGGCGUUAUGAUGUAGGCGUUAUGAUGCAGGCGUUAUGAUGUAGGCGUUAUGAUGUAGGCGUUAUGAUGUAGGCGUUAUGAUGUAGUUUUUAUGCACAUUCCUAAAAAAGGACAAAAAUGGUCUUAAUUAUUUAAUACACAUUCUGCAUUUCUAAUGAUGUCUGGCAAUGAAUUCAAUCAUUUGAAGCCUGAACUAUAAAAGCUAUCUUACCCUUUUAAAGAUAGAAUCCUUAACUGAAACAAUAACAAAGUGUAUUCCCUGACCCUGUUCUGCUAAAAAGCUAAGGGAUGGGUCUGGAGAAAUGCAGCCACUCUCAAAUUCAUAGACACAGCAAUCGAAGGACUGACCAUCCGUGACAUAACAUUUAUUUUUAAUGAUGUUGUUGGCUAUACAGUGUUUGUUUACAUUUAUGUUGUAACAUUGGAGUAAAACAAUCUUAGGUCUAGGCCUAGAUCCAAUCAGAUCAAACAUUAACCGGAGAUAGCCGACACCUGCACAGCUGAUGUUUUGGCGGUGUCAGAGGAGUAACUGCGUUGGAGCUGUCAAAUGGUGAGCAGCUGCUCUUGUGAUCAUUGUCACAAAGCCACAUCCAUCCCACUUGUGUUAGAAGUUCAGAACGAGAAAGUGUAGGCUAUAUAGAAAUAUUUUAGCUCUAAUUGAAAAUCAUUAAACAAAAUAGUGUCAAUUUAAACCUUGCACAAGACAGUCCACAGAAUUGUAAAUGUAAAAACAUUUAGCCGACUUAUACAUUACUACAUUUAACUAACAUUCGAUGGUUAAUACAGAGAUUCUUACCUUUGCCCCGAUUCGGCAGUCUCAUUCAGAUUAUCAUGGCAUUUGUAGCUCUUUAUGAUAGCCACAUUAGCAGCUAAUGUAAAUACAGGUGAAUAUAUUGAUAAAGUCACCUUUAUCAAUCCUAGAGAGAUUUACACGGUUAUCAGGGUAAGCCUACACAAAACACAGCCCUUAUUUUAAAGUUUUCUAAAAAUCCCGUAUGGGAAAAAUGUAUGGUGGAAAAACGAUUGUAACCAUUUCCCUGUUUGACCGCUAGGUUUUGUGGGUAUUAUGACUCAUACUGAAUAAUGAGGAUUUAUAUCAGCCUAAUCGAGAUGGAAAUGACAUCUCACAUUCCAGGGAUUGAACUUGUAAAAAGGCUGCAUGGGAUUUAUCUUAAUGCGACAUGGUGUAGCCAAUGGUAAUGUCUCCUUUCCGCUUGUAGAUUUGACAGCUCUAACGCAGUUCCAUCUCCGACACUGCCAAAACAACCGCUAUGUGGAUGUUGGCUAAAUAUCCUCUAUUAAAUAGAGCCCCUAGAUUCAAUCAGAUCAAGCAUUAAUUGGCGAUAGCUAACACCCACAUAGAUGAGGUGCAUUCAGUUCGCUUGAACGUUUGCUACUGAACAACACGUUUCCCCGUUCAACGUUCUUGUACUUUCUUGAACAGACUUUGAGGUACUGUAUGUUUGCUGCCAUUUGGUGUGUGUGGCAAGGUGUGGCUUGAGGCAAUGCGUGACGUAUUUAAAGGGCAGUGGCCAUGCUGAUAGCAUUCCCCAACCCACAACCCAACCCCUCCCCGUUUUUCAACUGGUCGUUUAGUACAGCACCGUGUCCGUUUAAAUGAAUGUUUCAGAACGUAAAAACGUACUGAACGCAGCCCUGAUGUUUUGGAGGUGUCGGGGGUGUAACCAGAGACAGUAGAGAAAGCGAGACACCACACUCCCAAAUGUUUUCUGAUUGGGGCGGAGCCACUUGUGUACUUAUUGCCCUCAGCCUGCUGACGGGGUGCCCCAGGGUGACACAUCUCACUGGCAAAAUGUUUCUGGUCGGGGGUAGGGUGAGUGGAAAGGGGACAUUAAGUCAACUAGAGCCAGCUGUUCCUCUCGAGUGAGCAUGCCAGAUAUUAUAGAGGGAACGUGAGCUCAACAAGAAAAGCUUGCUCAAGUGAUAGAGGAAACGGUCACUUACACAGACAGGAACCUUGAACAUUCUUUUCAAUUGUAAUUGCCUGAGUAAACUAUCUAUGGUGUAACUGUGUUGGAGCUGUCGAGUCGGUGAGCAGCUGCUGUUGUGAUCAUUGUCAUGAAGCCACACCCAUCCCUCUCACUCUGAGAAAGAACAACAAAAGCACUGUCAUCAGAAAACAGGAGGCGUAGGUAUCUUUCUGUUCCCCUGUUAAGAUGGCUUAGUAUUUGUCUGAUUGUCAUGAAAAGCAAAGACUAUCUAAAUGUGAGCGUCUGCAUAUCCCCCACCUCACUUGUUUUAUCUGAUACAUCAACACAGACACCAUGAUGCGCUAUUCAGAAAUCGCUCUGUCAUUUCCUUGGUAUCAAAAAUUUGAAUAGUUAACCUAAUUUCAGCUUGUGACAAAACAAGCAAGUAUAGUGUAGAAAAUAAUUUUGACGUCUAAACCACUGUGAAAUAUAUUUCCAUAAUCAAAAAUAUUGUAUUUUCAGCUGUUUGAAGGUGAUGUACAAAACCGAAAGUAAAAGACGCUAAAAUAAACCUUAAGAACAGGAAGCAUAGAAAUAGUGCCCAUAAAACAGCUAGCUCUUCCGCUUCUUAGACUUGGUUUCAAUGAGUGACAGAUCUGUAACUCACAUUUCUAUGUGAAUUUGGUUGGUCACCCUGCAACUUUAACGUUUGGAAAUAAACCUCUAGUAAUAGUUUAAAAUAUCAUUGUCAUCAGUCAAAAUGUCUAUGUACUUGGCUCUAUUUUUCAGUCUUCAUAUUUUCAGAAUCAUUUUCUUAUGGAUCUUUUAGACCACAGCCUUGUCCUUUCUAAAAAUACACUCUUAUGCCCAAACAGCAGGUGACUCUACACUACAAUAAAUGGUGAUGAGUCGGAGACUCAGAAUCAACUUGUUCCAGAGUGGUUGUGAGCUGGUCAUCUCUGCUGUACUGUGUAGGCUGUAUAGUUCAAUUGUUUCUCCAAUAGGUUGCGCUAUUUUGCAUUAUUGUGCCUAGGAAUAAGUAUCACCAAUAAAUCACACUUCAAACUAUUAGUGUCUGUUAUAGUAGUUUGUACCUGUCUGUAGAAUGCCAUGCAUUUUCAAGGAACCACCAACAUAUGACCUUCAUCUGCAAUUAGGCUAAAAGGUAUUCACAGGUUGAUCAUGACAUGAAGCAAUAUAAACCUAUUUCAGCACAGGAUGGACAGAGGAACAUCAGUCUGUCCACAGGAUCAAUGUGGUUUUAGGGAAAAACUACGUUUGGAAAUGUGAUCAUUGUGUUGUCAGAAUCUCUAUUUUGAAUAUUGUCAUCUUAAUUCAAUCCUUGAUCCCAGAUAUGAUACAAUAAAUGAAAUCCUUUGUCCCAGAUUGGGUAUCAGGAUUACACACACACACACACACACACAAUCCAUUCAGAGCUGUUCAUCUCUGCUUCAAACGCUUAAAAUUUACCAACAGCCUGCACUUUUCUACAAUGAUUGUGCCUGAAAAAUGUCCUACUUGGUUACUCAAAUGCAUAUUGUCAGGUAACUUUGCAUAAUUGAAUCAUCUAUUGCACAGGGUUGUGUUCAAGGAAUGAAUUACAGUUAAAGUAGUUGCCAUUUGACAGUAUUAAUCAAAUAAAGAAUAUAGUAAAUGUAUAGAUAAAUAAAAACGUUUCUAGAAUGUAAAGAGAAUAUCAUUUAUUUGAACUCCUGUCCUACACAGGUCCAUUGUUGAGCAAAGUUGCAGCUGGCACACAAUCUGGGGAAAAAUACAAACCACUGUUAAACUUGUAAACAUCAAUCACAUUCAGUUGUUGUUUUUUUGUGAUCAACACUUUCACAUUUCUGGCUGAAGAUAUAUUGUCCAGGGUAAACAUCACUGUAGAAGUAAUCCGUUUCUUAAAUGAGUGGAAUGUUACCCAGUUGUUCCCCAGGUCUGUAGCAGAGUAUGGUAGCCCACAAACUCAACAUGAUUUGCUCAGGUCAUCUGUGAAAGGAUGGUUGAAUUCAGUCAAUCAUCACACGUUAAGUCAGAGGGACAUUUCCAGUAUGGCAAGUUGUGUGCAUCACCCUACCGGUCUUUCUCAACCACAGAGCUAUAUCCCUCCAGAUGGCAUUGAUGAUCUCCUUGUCUCCAGAGAAGGACAUGUUGGCCCCCAGGAUAAUGUGUUCUGCAAGCUGAACAGGGGUUACACAGAUCCUUUAAAAGGCAUUCAAAGAGAUUCCAUCAGUCUACAGGUAGACUGGAACAUUUCCAAAUGGAUAAUGGGUAGCCGUGUUUCUGCACAAAGUCACCAGAAGUUCAGAAGCAACACAUGAAUUUACAUGCUCUUGUGAACUGCAAAGAAGCCGACACCACCAAUGCUCUCAAGGAACUACACUGGACUACUGCUGGGGACUUUAAUAUAGUCUGAGGGAAACACUACCAAAGUGUUUUCAAUACAUGGCCUGCGCUACUCACUCUUCAAAAGUUCUGGACCAUUGCUACUCCCCCCUUCCAGGAUGGAUAUCAGGCCCUCCACCGCCCUACCUUGGGCAAAUCUGAUCAUGCUUCCAUUCUGCUCCUCCCUUCCUAUAGGCGAACAUUAAACAGGAAGACCAUUCAACAUUGGUCUGACCAAUCCGAAUCUAUGCUUCAAGAUUAUUUUGGUCACGUGGACUGGGAUCUGUUCAGGGUUGCCUCAGAAUAAAAUUGACGUAUACACUGAUACGAUGACUGAGUUCAUCAGGAAGUGCAUAGGGGAUGUUGUUCCCACGGUGAUGAUUUGAACCUAUUCAAACCAAAAACCAUAGAUAGAUGGCAACAUUGACACAAAAUUGAAAGAGUGAACCACUGCAUUUAACAGUGGCAAGGUGACUGGGAACAUGGACGAGUACAAACAGUCCAGCUCUGCCCUCAGUAAGGCAAUCAUACAGGCAAAACUUCAGUACAGAGACAAAGUGGAGUCACAAUUAAAAGGUUCAGUCACAAGAUGUAUGUGUCAGGGACUCCAGGCUAUCAUGGAUAAUAAAUGGUAAACCAGCCACGUCGCUGAUGCUCCUGGACAAGUUAAACACCUUCUUUGCACAGUUCGAUGGCCGCGUGGCUACUUUUAAGAAUAUCAAAUAUAGCAUAUAUUUUUAUUUGUUUAACACUUUUGGUUACUGCAUGAUUCCAUAGCUUUGAUGUCUUCAUUAUUAUAAAAUGUAGAAAAUGGUAAAAAAAUUAAGAAAAACCCUUUAAUGAGUAGAUGUGUCCAACCUUGUGUCUGGUACUGUAUAUAUUUACAUUCCGGACUCUGCCAUUACUAGUUCUAGUAUUUCGUUGUUGCGUGUGUUGUUAGGUAUUACUGCACUGUUGGAGGUAAGAACAUAAGCAUUUUGGUACACCCACGAUAACAUUUGCUAAAUAUGUGUACAAAACCUAUUAAAAUGGAUUUGAUUUGGAAGUUAUAUUGUGUGACAUUAAUCUGAAAACACAACAGGAAUAAGGGGUAUUAGCGAUCUAUAGUCUUGUUCAAAGACUUUCUUCAUAUCUUUCUACUGCCCACUCCAAAUGGCUGACAUUUGAAAGCAAGUCAUCUAUUUAAAAAUACUUAGGAUUGUACACUUACUAAAUCAUGACAACAAAGUGGUCAAAACUAAAGCCAUACCUCACUUUCUCGGUCCCUUCCUGGUGAAAGGCACUCAAGGGUGGACGAGAACAGUGUAUAGGGGCCCACUCUACUCCACAAAAUGCCCCCAGCUUUCCCAGGAAACAAGAUGGUGUUACCGUUUAUUAAUUUAAAUGUGGAUAAAUGUCUUACCUUUAAUCAAAUCACAUAAUCUUCAUAAUUUGCCUUGAAGCCAGAUGCAUCCCUGAAAAAGCUUGGUGCACUAAUUGUGGAGGAAGGCAAUACAGGAGGGGAAACGGGAUCAGGAGAUAUGGAGAACAAGGGGGCACAGACGAUGGUGGCAGGCAGUGGUGGAGGUCUGGUGAUGGUGUGAGGUUGAAGCUGAACCUAAGGUAUGAUGAUGGUGGGAGGCGGAAGCUGAUGUCUUGUGAUGGUGGGAGGCUGAAGCUGAACCUGAGGUCUGGUGAUGGUGGAAGGCUGAAGCUGAACCUGAGGUCUGAUGAUGGUGGAGGCGGAAGCUGAGGUCUGGUGAUUGUGGGAGGUUAUGUUAUGGUGGGGAACUGAUUUGGGAGGUUGGUCAAAGGGGUCAAGAUGGGUGAAGGUAGGAUAAAGUAUGAAGGACAACAAAAGAACAAUGAGGGGGAGCGAAAAACAUUGUGGGUGAAGGAGAGACCUGCAGAAAGAGCCAGCAGAAGAGCCAGCAGAGUGACCAGGAGAAGAGGCAGCAGAGUGACCAGCAGAAGAGGCAGCAUAGGGAGUGUUUGUGUGGGAUUCUUUCCUUCUCCUCUUUGAACAUAACCAGGUGGACAGUGUUGAUCAUUGGAGUCAACAUAUCUUCCUUAGAAAUCAGGUCUGAAAUUCUUCCACUCAAUUUUUGCGAUACUAUACGGCCCCAACUGGUCACGGUCGAACUUGCCACUCUUCCUCUGCUGGCUCCUGAUGUUCCUUCUCCAAUGGCAAAGGUCACUUGAUUUCCUUGAGCCAACUUUCUUUCCUUCUACUGCUCCUUCUCCACAUUCUGUAGUACUAUUAUGUAAAUGUCCUCCUGCCCUUUCAGACCCCUCUGCCAGAAUCACAUUUGCCAGGAUAUCCACACUUGCGUCUACCUAUACUGUACCAAAAAUAAAUGUGAAUAUAUUAACUGUGUGUAGGGCUACAUCAAGGAUGCAUAAUUAUAUUAGGGAAUGAAUUCCAGACUUACUUUAUAAUGUACUGGCAUUGAAGGAUAUUGAGCCUACACAAAAAAGUAUGGGG